rnacentral:ncRNA from 2 species
CCCGCACAAGCGGCGGAGCAUGUGGAUUAAUUCGAUGCAACGCGAAGAACCUUACCUGGGUUUGACAUGCACAGGACGUCGGCAGAGAUGUCGGUUCCCUUGUGGUCUGUGUGCAGGUGGUGCAUGGCUGUCGUCAGCUCGUGUCGUGAGAUGUUGGGUUAAGUCCCGCAACGAGCGCAACCCUUGUCCUAUGUUGCCAGCGGGUUAUGCCGGGGACUCGUAGGAGACUGCCGGGGUCAACUCGGAGGAAGGUGGGGAUGACGUCAAGUCAUCAUGCCCCUUAUGUCCAGGGCUUCACACAUGCUACAAUGGCCGGUACAAAGGGCUGCGAUACCGUGAGGUGGAGCGAAUCCUUUCAAAGCCGGUCUCAGUUCGGAUCGGGGUCUGCAACUCGACCCCGUGAAGUCGGAGUCGCUAGUAAUCGCAGAUCAGCAACGCUGCGGUGAAUACGUUCCCGGGCCUUGUACACACCGCCCGUCACGUCAUGAAAGUCGGUAACACCCGAAGCCGGUGGCCUAACCCCUUGUGGGAGG